GCUGGCUGGCCCGGGGCGCGUGACGUCAGCGCGUUGCCGCUGCCGUCGCCGCCUCCCGCUACUGCGACGUGCUGCUCCCGCCCUCCGCGGUGCAACAGCAACAAAACCCGCCGCCUCAGGCCCGGGCUGCACUCGGGAGCGGGGCGUCGCCGCUGCAGUCGUCACCUCUGUAGCCGCGGCUGGCCAAUACCGGCAUCCGAACCCUUGAUCUUUAUUAUAACACCGCACUCUAACCAACUGAGCUAACCAGCCAGCCCGGUGUCCUGAUCUUUAAGAAAAUCACGAAAAAUUGAAAACUUGGAAAGGCUAGAAAUCUGUGGUGAUCACCAGCAUCCUCAGCUUCCCAUACUGGUUGUGUCUGAAAUGAAGCAUCACCCUUGGAUCAACCUGCUUGUGUCUCUAUACUGCUGAAAUCCUGGAAUCUACUAGAGAAAACACCAUUUGUACAGCAUCAACUCACAAUUCGAAAUCCUAAGGGGUCACACUGCCUCAGGCCUCCUCUCCAGCUAGUUUUUGUGAAGCUCCACCUCGAUCCUAGCUCUCUCCUGCUCCAGAACGUCCACCAGUCCCCACUGCCCCCCACAUAAAAUCCAGCUCUACCACCAGAUGCUCAGGGCCCUCAACUGUGGCCAAACAACCUGUCCAGCUUUCCCUUCUGCUGCGCCCUGCUGAACGGAACGCACACCUGAGCCUCACAGUUUGGAGGCUGGGAAGUCCAUGGUCCAGGAGGGGCAUCUAUAAGGGCCUUGGUGGUGGUUCUACAGCAAAAGGGGGUAUCACAUAGCAAGAAUCAGAUCCUUUGCCUGGAACUUCUGGACUCUGUGGUCAUCCCACACGCCCCCAGACUCUGUAUCCCUUAAGCUAUGCUUACAGAGUGCUCUAUGCCUUUUCAAGAGCAACAAAAAAUGAAUAAAUCUCUAAGUAUGAAGAAGCGGCAUUUCAUGUAAUAGAUGUAAAAGACAUGCACACACAGACCUGUGAACUCCCAGCUUCCAGGGCUGAUGACUUGAGUUAAGAAGAAAUGUGCCAUUACAGGAGUUGGUGUCAUUUGAGGCUAUGGACUUUACCUGAGAAGAGUGGCAGGACCUGGAUGAUGCUCAGGACUUUAUACAGGGACAUGAUGUUGGAGACCUUUUAAUAAAAUAUUAUUUACCACUAGUCUA